UACGUAGGGUGCGAGCGUUAAUCGGAAUUACUGGGCGUAAAGCGUGCGCAGGCGGUUCGUUGUGUCGGCGGUGAAAGCCCCGGGCUUAACCUGGGAAUGGCCGUUGAAACUGGCGAACUGGAGUGUGGCAGAGGGGGGUGGAAUUCCGCGUGAAGCAGUGAAAUGCGUAGAGAUGCGGAGGAACACCGAUGGCGAAGGCAGCCCCCUGGGCUAACACUGACGCUCAGGCACGAAAGCGUGGGGAGCAAACAGG
rnacentral:rRNA from 1 species